CAGAUGUGUCAUGAACGCAUUCUUCACCACCACUUUGAAGCAUCCUGAACUGACUCUAACACAUAGCAGCAGUACCACAAUGGAGCAGGGACACACUUCUUCCUCUGCGCCUUCCUACCUAGCAUGGUCCAUCUUUAACACUCUGUGUUGCUGUUUACCUCUGGGGAUCGCUGCUAUUGUCUGUUCCUGCAGGGCACAGAAUGCGAAUGCUCUUGGCCAAGGAGCUGUAGCCCAAGACGCAUCUAAGACAGCAAGGACCCUUAAUGUGAUUGGACUCGUCUGUGGAAUAAUUCUGAUCAUCAUUUUUAUUGUUCUCAAAGUCGUCAAUAGCAACCAGAAAUGAUUAUUUUCAUGUUGUUGGAAUGUUUCUGGAAAUGAUGAAAUACUGUGCAUAAUUGGCUGAUCCAUUGAUGGGAAACAUCUGUUGGUGUGCUGGAUUAGGCCUCCAAAAUCCAAUGAACUACCAAAAAUGUUAACAAAAAUGUCUUCCUUUUUGUUCAUCAAUAAAUACCCUAUCCUAUGGAUGAUGGAUCAUUUAUUUAAGUCCACAACAUUAAAGAAGACAGAAUAAUCAACCGCAGGACACACCCCUGGGGGUGGAGGCAUAG